CUAAGUUGCCCAGGCUGACUUUGAACUUGCAGAUCUCCUGGCUUGGUCUUCAGACUAGCUAGGACUGCAGGCAUGCACCAACAUGCCUGGAAGCAUGGUCUUUAUUUUGGUAAAUACGUAAUACUCAGACUGUUAACUUCUUCUCUUGAAAGAUGUAUUUUUCUCUUUCUAGAAAGAGAAAAAACACUGCUCGAUUACCAAACCUGCUAUGCCGAUGUGGAGUCUAAUUAUCUGCUCCACGUUGUUCCUUGCCAGCAAACAGAUGUUAAUCAUAAUGAAUAAUCAGCCUUGCUCACCAGCAUGGCCUGAGACACCUUCCCUCCUGUGUGAUGCACGGACCUGGGUGCCUCCUUCGGGGUCCCCACGUAAUCCCGGCAGCCUGUUCAGGUCUACAAGGACCUGGCUGGCCUUCAGGUCUACAAGGACAAAAUUGAAAAUAGAGAAUGUGAGAAUAAACAUCGAAAGCAGCAAGAAGUUUCUUUCCUAUGGCCCCAGAGUAAGAAGAGGAAGACCAUAAAAAGCAGGCUAAAUUUACUACUUCUAAUAAAAAUUAGAAUAUAUAUAUAUCUCUCUCUAUAAUAUCUGAA
rnacentral:lncRNA from 1 species